rnacentral:lncRNA from 1 species
UCCGAUCACCAUAUGAACUCGUUGGUUUUGAGGUAGCAUUCGUAUGGCUGUUUAUUUAUGAGGACGGUGGGUUCUAUUAUGUAAGUGCAUUGAUUCUUCUCUUUUCUUUUCUCGGAUAAUUUUGAAGACCCUUCUAUUUUAGUCGGUAAAACUCUAAUUUAUAUGUCGUUUUAGGUAUCAUCGAUCUUUUCAGUGUUUUGAAUCUCAACAGAAUUGGUACAUUGUAGGAAAUUUCUUAUGAUGUGUUUGAGUCCUUGAUUGCAGUGGCAGAUACAAGGGCCUCCACUAAACCCUGACCGAGUCCACCUUCAAAUUUAUAGGUUGGUUAGCAUAUUUUAUACUCAGUAUAAACCAUUUUUAACUUUUAUAAGAUCCGACCAAGUUCAUUGGACGGCU